CUUAUUCUGAAACAUGCAGAAGAUUCUACUUUAUAUCCUAGGUCUAGUAUUGCUCCUUGUUGGUGAGUUACAGAUUAUAUAGUAUUAACAAUAUUUAAAGAAGAGGGGACAGGAUCUCAAAAUACGGAGGAAAAAUUGAGUACUUCAAACUUAUUUAAUCUUGUACAUGUAUGUAAUGUUGUGUUGACGGGUUGCUGUGCAUAUGAAAUAUAUAUGUUGUGUACAAGUUAUCAUUUUUUUAUCAAAUUCUACAAAUUAUUAUUUGUAUUUUGACUUGUACAAAUUGUAAUUUGUACAAAAAGUGCCUGUACAAAUACAAUUUGUACAAUAUUUGAUGAAAAUUCACUUAUAACUUGUACAACAAUUCAUAACAUGGAUUUUGGUGAAAAAAAAGGAUUGUUACACACCCCAUAGAAUUGUUAUUAAAUAACCAUAUAGUGCAUCUUAUGUACCAAAUACAAAAGUUGUUCUUUAUCAUUCGUUUGAACAGGUGAGUGAAUUCGUUUGAGCAGGUGAGUGAAUUCUGGCAUCGGAAAUUGCAUCUUUUGACUUUCACAUUUAUUUCUUCUUCAACACUUCGCAACGGCUAAUUGCGUUGGGGUCAACUGCUUUAAUAAGUUUACAAAGCUAUAUAUGCCAGGUAUUAUUAUUGACACUCUUCAAGUCAUUUACUCGGUUGAUGUAAUUGUGUAAUAAUGGUCGGUAUUGUUGAUCAGAAUGAUCCUGAUGUUAACAAGAACUAUCAUUGAUAUGUUCAUAAUUAUAAAUUAAUUGUUUAUAAAACUUUGAAGUUUUGAAAUACUAAGGUGUUUCUACAUCAGGAAUAGGUUGACUGAGAUGUAUUUGCCAAAACUUUAAGGAAUUUUCGGUCCUCAAUGCUUUUCAACUUCGUACUUUAUUUGGCCCUUUUCACUUGUUUGAUUCGAGCAUCACUGAUGAGUCUUUUUGUAGGUGAAACGGGCGUCUGGUGCAAAUAUUAAAUUUCAAUCCUGUUAUCUAAUAAUGAGUUUAAUCUGUCGUGUGCUCAAACGAAUGAUAAAGAAUUACUUUUACAAAGUAUUUGACGAGAGAUGAACUGUGUGGUCAUUUAAUAACAAUUCUUUAAUGUGUAUCAAUGAUUUUUUUCAUCAAAAUACAUAUUAUAAAUUAUUUGUACAAGUUAUAAGUGAAUUUUUGUACAAAUUACAAUUAAUACAAAGUCAAAAUACAAAUAAUAAUUUGUACAAUUACAAAAUGAAAACUUGUAAACAUAUAUGGAGAAAACAAAACAACAUCAAACAAGAAACUGCGAACAAGCAUACCUCCAGUAAUUCAGUAAAUUUGAAGUGAAGCUGUGCGUUUGUCGUUAAAUUUACAUAUAGCUAAACCAUAAACUUUAUGACUUAAUUUCAGUUGUCGAACAAACUACAGGACAGAAAUGUUCUACCGAAUAUUGCCGUAAAUGGCCUAGAAGCGACUGUGGAUGGAAAGGCUGUUGUUGGGGGAAAUUAAAUUGUCUAUACGGUAGAUGCGAAAGACGAUAGCAUUUUCAAAGUGGACAAUCGCUUUAUAGCUGUUUCUGUUAUCAAUGUGGU
rnacentral:lncRNA from 1 species